UACGAAGGGGGCUAGCGUUGCUCGGAAUCACUGGGCGUAAAGCGCACGUAGGCGGCUUUUUAAGUCAGGGGUGAAAUCCUGGAGCUCAACUCCAGAACUGCCUUUGAUACUGAGAAGCUUGAGUCCGGGAGAGGUGAGUGGAACUGCGAGUGUAGCGGUGAAAUGCGUAGAUAUUGGGAGGAACACCAGUGGCGAAGGCGGCUCACUGGACCGGUUCUGACGCUGAGGCGCGAAAGCGUGGGGAGCAAACGGG
rnacentral:rRNA from 1 species